GAUGAACGCUGACAGAAUGCUUAACACAUGCAAGUCAACUUGAACUUCGGUUUGGGUGGCGGACGGGUGAGUAACGCGUAAAGAACUUGCCUCACAGCUAGGGACAACAUUUGGAAACGAAUGCUAAUACCUGAUAUUAUGAUUAUAUGGCAUCGUAUAAUUAUGAAAGCUAUAUGCGCUGUGAGAGAGCUUUGCGUCCCAUUAGCUAGUUGGAGAGGUAACAGCUCACCAAGGCGAUGAUGGGUAGCCGGCCUGAGAGGGUGAUCGGCCACAAGGGGACUGAGACACGGCCCUUACUCCUACGGGAGGCAGCAGUGGGGAAUAUUGGACAAUGGACCGAGAGUCUGAUCCAGCAAUUCUGUGUACACGAUGAAGUUUUUCGGAAUGUAAAGUGCUUUCAGUUGGGAAGAAAAAAAUGACGGUACCAACAGAAGAAGUGACGGCUAAAUACGUG
rnacentral:rRNA from 1 species